AGCGGAUCAAAAACUAGGAAGGUUAAUUCAGUCUUUUCAAAAUUGAAAGCUGGGCCGCUAUUCUCUCGCACCGGAUCCACGGAAACCCUAAUUCAUUUUUCCUAUAAAUUAAUAACUCGUGCUUAGUCUAAAAGCGCCGUUCCUGGGUAAUCCUCUUCUCUUCCCAUAGCUUUUCGAUUCUUUUUUAGUUUUGAUUUCAAUUUCGUUUUGUUGUUAUUUCAAUUUUAUUUGUUAAUUUUGUUUGCGUUAUGAAUGAGAAAGAGAUGACAGUGAUGACCACAUAAUAUUCAAGCUCAACAGACUGGAAUGCAGGGUUUUCUCUCAUUAGAGAUUUCUUUGCGUGUCGACAACCCCGCUGAACUGAGUCAUCUCUUUCUUUUUUCACUAUUAAAAAAUGUUAUUAAUAAUUUUUGAAUUUAGUGUGUUUUUAUUUGGGGAAAAGAGCGGUUCACGAUGAGGAUUAAAAGCUCCCUCUUCUGAAAUCUUUGAGGAAAUCCGCUGGCAGAAUCGAACCUUAAAACUUAUUGCCACCACUGAGUGAUUUAUCUCUUUCCCUUUUUUUUGUUAUCUUUAUCUUAUUUUUUUUAAUUUACGUUUUUUUGUUAUAAUUAUUUUUUAAAUUUGUUUUAUCUGAAAUUGAAUUUCCGAGGUCAGUGAUGAGUUUAAGAUUUUGCCUACAUUGGAUGAUUAUCUGCUUUUAGAUAUGAUCUGUACAAAUCAACUGAGGCCUACAAACGUAAAAUGUUCUUUUAAUUAUGGUCAAAUAUGUUUACAGUUUCUAUGAAAUAAAUUUGGGAAUGAUAUGUAUUUA